AUCUUCUUAUUCUCUCUUCCACUCACAUACGCGCCGUGCCCAAACCCUUAUCUCCUUAAAAGGUAAAACCUAGAAAUUGAACUCCGUCACUGCUUUCAUCGCCACUAUCCUUAUAACGCGCUCCUUCACCUCCUGAUUUUCUAAUCUCCAUCUCCCUACUCGGAGACGACGAAGCAGUUAUAUCUCUCGGCGCUUGCUCCGGAAUGCUCUGGUUGAAGCCGGAUUUCCGAGGAGACGAUCAUCCUGGCCUCUUAGAGGCCACCUAGGCAGGAUCUGAAUCGACGAUCAUCCGGGCCUUGUAGCCGCCUCCGAGUAUCAGGCCGUGGUCCCCCCUACGUCUUUGAUCGGCGGACUCUUUUUCGUGCGUAUGUUUAUUCAGCUUUGCCUUAGAUUCCUCUUGUAUUCUCUUAUGUGUUUUUAGGUGUUUCUUUGUCUAUCGUUCAAUUGUUGUGUUCAAACAGGAUCUCCGAGUCCACAAUCAUCAAGGCCUUGCAGCCGCCUCCGAGAUUCAGAUUGUGGUCCUCUCUAUACUACUUCUGCUUUGUCUCCUAGAUUCCUCUUUUUUCCUUAUCUCGUAGGGUUUUAAGGUUUCUUUUAUCGUUCAAGUGUUUUGAAAUGUUUAACUAAAUUAAUGUGGAAUCGAAUGAGUCAUUGAAAUCAAAAUGCCUUGUAAUUUUAAAUUUGGAAAUUAUCACUUCGAAAACAACUCAGUAUCUCAAAAUCUGAGCUGAUACAGGCACACAUGUGUGAAGCCAAAAUUGAGUUGAGACACAGUAAUGUCUUGUUAUGCUUAGCCUAUGAUAAUUUUGCAAGAAUAGAUUAUUUUGAUUUGCAAAAUUUACUAGCAACUGCUUGGCAGGUUAAUUUUCAAGCAUUUAUAAAUGUAAUAAGAUUGCAUAUGGGAGCCAAAACAUUGUUAUGGCAUGAUAUGGUGCAGAAAGAGUUGUAUCUGGUGACUCUGAUGUGAUUUCUUAUUUUUAUUUGAAAUUCAUAUCGACUGAAUUUUCUGAUAA